UACAGAGGGUGCGAGCGUUAAUCGGAAUUACUGGGCGUAAAGGGCGCGUAGGUGGAUGCGUAAGUCGGAUGUGAAAUCCCUGGGCUUAACCUGGGAAUGGCAUACGAUACUGGGCAUCUAGAGUUGAGUAGAGGGAAGUGGAAUUUCCGGUGUAGCGGUGAAAUGCGUAGAUAUCGGAAGGAACACCAGUGGCGAAGGCGGCUUCCUGGACUCAAACUGACGCUGAGGCGCGAAAAGCGUGGGGAGCAAACAGG
rnacentral:rRNA from 1 species